GGUGUAUUCGGUUAUAAAUGCGGGUUAUGUUAGCAGUAUGCUGAAGCUUUUGUGCGCAUGAAGUAGCAGGACCUCCGAGCGGCGACACGCAGCAAUGCACAAACACUGAAGCUCGAAAGGGCCACAGCGAAAGCGUAUCCCACGGCGCAACCGUGCUGGACGCAUCUAUCAAGCUGCCGUUUCCUCGACGCGAACUGCGAGCGCGCGCGGCGUCUUGAGCGCAGCAGCCUACCAGGACAGCACAUGCACCUCCCUGACCCAGACGAAAAACCGCCCCACGGAUGGCUGUUCCGGCUCGAAUGCCGUCUCCUGCUGCAGCCGUGGCCUCUUCUCGAAGACUCCCUCCGCGGCCAAGUGUCGUGAACGAUUCAUCUUGCUUCGGCCUCUCGCCUACCAGCCGGCACCGAGGGAGGGAUGCCCCUUGCUAUCUCGGCAUGGAAGCGGAGGCGAAUGAAGCCGAGCAACCUCGACUCAAGCCGAGCCAAGACAAGAGUAGCAUCGAACGCCGCAAAGGGAACGAUCCUCGCCCCAGCCAACCCCGGUGACGAAGGAGGCGGGCCAUGUCGACCUUUUUCCUGCCCCCCUUUAAAAGUGAGCGGCGGCGCCAGCUUGCCUGCAGCUGUAGACCGACGACAGUGACGACCUUGCCCGUGCUUGCCGACCGAGGCGACGGCGGUCCCGGCAACGCCUGUGAGUGCAUGCACUGUCGUGCACGUUUAAUUAAUGCCGUGUAAAUGGAGAAAUAAAAGCCUA